rfam:Dictyocaulus viviparus strain HannoverDv2000 D_viviparus-1.0_Cont19057.1, whole genome shotgun sequence.
GUCUUGGUAGUGUAAUGGAUAGGCACAGUAUCUGUAGGUACGGGUUCGAAUCCCGUCUGAGGUU